rnacentral:lncRNA from 1 species
AAAAAUUAUUCACUAAGAAAAAAGAUUACAAGGUGAUUACCGACUCCACGGACUCAACCUCUCUUAACCUCCUAUGAAUCUCGCGCAAUCCUCCGGGUUGUCCACGUCCUUACGUUCGAAUCCACGAACGCCACGUUCCGAAUCCACGAAACGCCUCCACUCCGAAUACACGAAGCUUACGAUCCGAAUUCAUGAACCGCCGUCAAUCACGCCGAAUCCACGACGCCGUCAUGAAGAACAU